AGGACAUACAGAUUUCUAUGGCAUAAGGCACAAAAACCGCCUAUGAAGUGAUGCUGUGGUGUCUUCAUUUUCUUGUUUUUAAGAACUUAAAGCAACUGGUUCUUCUAUCCAUUGUCCUUAUACCUGUAUGUGUGGGCAGAGGCCCAAGAAUCUAUCACUUCCUUGAAUUCACUGAGUGUGCAGGAGGAAUGUCAGAGAGUGGAAGAAGAGAUCAAAUGAAGAGAGGGCAUGGCAUAGAUUUGAUCUUCCAACAGAGAACAGAAGAAAGGUUUCCUAGUAUGGCAGUCCAUUCUGGCAUGGAACUGAGUACCAUGGAAAGGUGGGACCCUCAAAGGAACAGGGAUGCCCUGAGUUCUCUAAGUACUUCCCGUUGCACAUGGAUAAGAAAUGCAGAGGUGAGUACCUCUCAAAAAAUUCAAAAAUGUGGCCUAACACAGGUUUAUUGAUUGAUUGAUUGAGAUGGAGCCUCUCUCUGUUGCCCAGGCUGGAGUGCAAUGGCAUAAUCUCGGCUCACUGCAACGUCUGCCUCCCAGGUUGAAGCUAUCUUCAUACCUCAGUCUCCUGAAUAGCUGGGAUUACAGGCAUGCGCCACCAUGCCCGGCUAAUUUUUGUAUUUUUGUAGUAGAGAUGGGGUUUCACUAUGUUAGCCAGGCUGGUCUCGAACUCCUGACCUCAAGGGAUCCACCCACCUUAGCCUCCCAAAAUGCCGGGAUUACAGGCAUGAGACACCGCCCCCGCCCUGACACAGGUUUUUAUUCUCAUGAACAUAUUUGGAGAAAAGUCUUGCAGA
ensembl:lincRNA